GAGUUUGAUCAUGGCUCAGAUUGAACGCUGGCGGCAGGCCUAACACAUGCAAGUCGAACGGUAACAGGAAGCAGCUUGCUGCUUUGCUGACGAGUGGCGGACGGGUGAGUAAUGUCUGGGAAACUGCCUGAUGGAGGGGGAUAACUACUGGAAACGGUAGCUAAUACCGCAUAACGUCGCAAGACCAAAGAGGGGGACCUUCGGGCCUCUUGCCAUCGGAUGUGCCCAGAUGGGAUUAGCUUGUUGGUGGGGUAACGGCUCACCAAGGCGACGAUCCCUAGCUGGUCUGAGAGGAUGACCAGCCACACUGGAACUGAGACACGGUCCAGACUCCUACGGGAGGCAGCAGUGGGGAAUAUUGCACAAUGGGCGCAAGCCUGAUGCAGCCAUGCCGCGUGUAUGAAGAAGGCCUUCGGGUUGUAAAGUACUUUCAGCGGGGAGGAAGGGAGUAAAGUUAAUACCUUUGCUCAUUGACGUUACCCGCAGAAGAAGCACCGGCUAACUCCGUGCCAGCAGCCGCGGUAAUACGGAGGGUGCAAGCGUUAAUCGGAAUUACUGGGCGUAAAGCGCACGCAGGCGGUUUGUUAAGUCAGAUGUGAAAUCCCGGGCUCAACCUGGGAACUGCAUCUGAUACUGGCAAGCUUGAGUCUCGUAGAGGGGGGUAGAAUUCCAGGUGUAGCGGUGAAAUGCGUAGAGAUCUGGAGGAAUACCGGUGGCGAAGGCGGCCCCCUGGACGAAGACUGACGCUCAGGUGCGAAAGCGUGGGGAGCAAACAGGAUUAGAUACCCUGGUAGUCCACGCCGUAAACGAUGUCGACUUGGAGGUUGUGCCCUUGAGGCGUGGCUUCCGGAGCUAACGCGUUAAGUCGACCGCCUGGGGAGUACGGCCGCAAGGUUAAAACUCAAAUGAAUUGACGGGGGCCCGCACAAGCGGUGGAGCAUGUGGUUUAAUUCGAUGCAACGCGAAGAACCUUACCUGGUCUUGACAUCCACAGAACUUUCCAGAGAUGGAUUGGUGCCUUCGGGAACUGUGAGACAGGUGCUGCAUGGCUGUCGUCAGCUCGUGUUGUGAAAUGUUGGGUUAAGUCCCGCAACGAGCGCAACCCUUAUCCUUUGUUGCCAGCGGUCCGGCCGGGAACUCAAAGGAGACUGCCAGUGAUAAACUGGAGGAAGGUGGGGAUGACGUCAAGUCAUCAUGGCCCUUACGACCAGGGCUACACACGUGCUACAAUGGCGCAUACAAAGAGAAGCGACCUCGCGAGAGCAAGCGGACCUCAUAAAGUGCGUCGUAGUCCGGAUUGGAGUCUGCAACUCGACUCCAUGAAGUCGGAAUCGCUAGUAAUCGUGGAUCAGAAUGCCACGGUGAAUACGUUCCCGGGCCUUGUACACACCGCCCGUCACACCAUGGGAGUGGGUUGCAAAAGAAGUAGGUAGCUUAACCUUCGGGAGGGCGCUUACCACUUUGUGAUUCAUGACUGGGGUGAAGUCGUAACAAGGUAACCGUAGGGGAACCUGCGGUUGGAUCACC
rnacentral:rRNA from 1 species